GACGUAGGGUGCGAGCGUUGUCCGGAUUUAUUGGGCGUAAAGAGCUCGUAGGCGGCUCGUCGCGUCGACCGUGAAAACCCGCGGCUUAACUGCGGGCUUGCGGUUGAUACGGGCGGGCUAGAGUUCGGUAGGGGAGACGUGAAUUCCUGGUGUAGCGGUGAAAUGCGCAGAUAUCAGGAGGAACACCGGUGGCGAAGGCGGCACUCUGGGCCGGUACUGACGCUGAGGAGCGAAAGCGUGGGGAGCGAACAGG
rnacentral:rRNA from 1 species